UUCAAAAGUCUGACACAAAACAGAAUAAUCAGAACAAAAAUAAAUAUAUAUAUAUAUAUAUAUAUAUAUAUACAUUGUUAUACGAAUUAUUACACGUAGUUGCAGAUUGAAACGGAUGUGAGAAAAAAAAAAAAGGAGGAGAAAAGAUUUUUAGAGAGGAAAAAAACAAGAUUAUUAUUAUUAUGAGGAGAAGUGGGGGCAAUUGAGAAUUGUCUCCUUUCUCCCCUAAUUUUAUGAAUCCUUUUUUUCUUCUUCUUUGACAAAUUGUUAUUAAUACACACACAACCAGAUUACUGGUAUCCAAACAACAGAAAUAUAACUAUAUAUAUAUAUAUAUAGCCAUCAUUUUAUCUCAUUUUCCUUGUUUAUCCAUUUUCUCUUUUACUCCUCUUGUCUAGAACAUUCCAUGUUUUUGUUUUCAAUUGUCUCUAAAACCCUAUACUCUGUUUGGGUAUAAUCAGGAUUUCAUUUCCGUUUUUUGUGGUUAAUUAUGGGUUCUAUUGGAAUUCGGGUUGAAAUGGAGAACCGUUGGGAUUUUGUAAGUGCUGAUCCAUCAACAAUAACAGAGGAUUGUUGGGUUGUGGGUGAAGAAGCUAUAAAUGAAGUUGUUAAUUGUGUUCAUCCAACUCUUGAUACUGAAGAAAAAAGGAAAGAUGUUAUUGAUUAUGUUCAAAGACUUAUCAAAUGUUCUCUUGGUUGUCAGGUUUUCUCAUAUGGAUCAGUGCCACUGAAGACCUACCUUCCUGAUGGUGACAUUGAUUUGACUGUUUUUGGCAGUCCUAUUAUUGAAGAAACAUUGGCCCGUGAAGUUCUCGCUGUUCUGCAGGAAGAAGAGCUAAAGGAAAAUACUGAGUAUGAUGUCAAGGAUCCCCAAUUUAUUGAUGCUGAGGUUAAGCUCGUGAAAUGUAUAGUACAAAAUACUGUGAUAGAUAUAUCCUGUAAUCAGUUAGGAGGACUUUGCACACUUUGUUUCCUCGAGCAGGUAGAUCGCCUUGUUGGUAAAAAUCAUCUCUUCAAACGUAGCAUUAUAUUGAUAAAGGCUUGGUGCUAUUAUGAAAGUCGUGUUCUUGGUGCACAUCAUGGUCUGAUCUCCACAUAUGCUUUGGAAACACUGGUCUUAUAUAUAUUCCAGCUGUUCCAUUCAUCGUUAGAUGGUCCUCUAGCGGUUCUCUAUAGCUUUUUGGAUUACUAUAGCAAAUUUGAUUGGGACAACUAUUGUAUCAGUUUGAAUGGUCCAGUAUGCAAAUCAUCCCUUCCGGAUAUAUUUGUUGAGAUGCCAGAUUAUAUAAGCAACGAUUUAUUGCUUAGUGAGGAGUUUUUAAGGAACAGUAUGGAAAUGUUCUCAGUUCCAUCCAGGGGUCUUGAGACAGACACACGACCAUUUCAACAAAAGCAUCUAAAUAUAAUUGACCCCUUGAAGGAAAAUAAUAACCUUGGGCGUAGUGUCAACAGAGGUAAUUUCUAUCGAAUAAUAAGAGCUUUCAAGUAUGGGGCCCGCAAGCUCGGCGACAUUCUUUUGUCCCCAUCUGACCAUGUUGCCGAUGAGAUCAAGAAGUUCUUUGCAAACACUAUUGAGAGGCAUAGACACAAUCAUGUGGCUGCUUUACAACAUACCAGCCCAAUUUUUGGUGAUGAAGACACAUGUUCUGAUGAAUUUUAUGCCAAUUCUGGAAUUCUUCUGAAAUCAUCAGAUGGUGAUUUUGAGAAUGAUAGCCUGAGAAAGGCAUUUAAAUCAAUAUCAAAUGAGUUGGUGAGUAAUUCAAUGAAUGGAGUUUCUUCAGAUAUGCUGUCAGAAAAUGGCUCCAUUUCAGAUGCAAAUGAUCCUUCAGCUUAUGUACCUCUAAAUCUCGAUCUUGCAAAUGGCACAUAUGACUGCUGUUUUAAUGGCAGCUCCACGAGUUCUCUUUCUUGGAAGCAUUACUAUGCGCCUCCAUUUCAUUUCAAUAAAUCAUGUGUUGAAAAUGGGAACCCAGGGCCCGAGAAUUCGUGCCAAAGUGGCCUAUCUGAUUCUGGUUUGUGGGUAGAAACCACAGGCAGCAUAUACCAAUCAGGUACAGAUUAUAGUGAGGACAUCUGGUCUGGUGGUUCAGAAAUCUCAAGUCCAAAGACCAGUAUUUUAGAAAGUGUAACUCUCGAUAUAGGGGAAAGGGAUGCGAGCACAGCUGGAGAUAUUGAAGUUAUGAUCAAUCCGUUGGUGGACUUAAGUGGGGACUAUGACAGCCAUAUACGGAGUUUGCUCUAUGGCCAGUGUUGCUUUGGGUUUGCUCUGUCAGCACCGGUACUUAAUAGUCCAUCAUCACCACCUCCAUCUCGAAACACAAAAUUUUGGGAUACUGUCCGACAAUCAAUGCCACUUAGACAGAACUCAUUUCUGCAAACAAAUGAAAACGGUAUGCUUGUGGGACCAACCGCUCAACCUUCUGCCAAUUCUCGACCAUCUACUGCUACUUUAGGUUCUGAAGAGAAAGAAAUGGCACAAGGAACUGGAACCUACUUCAUGAAUACGGAAUAUCACCAGGAGAGACGUUGUAAAGGACGGACUAGGAGUAGGGCACCAGGAAGUUAUGGUCAGUUGCAUUUGCAUAGCGGGACCCAUAGUUACGGGUCCAUUGCUUCUUCUGAUGCAAAUCAGUCAGAAAAGUGUUCAGAGAUUUCAGCUGUAAAAUCUCCCGUUCAAGGUCGUGAGAAGUUAGCCAUAUCUAGCCAAUCUGAUAAGCUCCUCGAAGAUUCUCAUGCCAAUGCUUUCUCGAAUUCGUCAUGUAGAAUUGAAUUUGGAUCUCUAGGGAAUCUCUCUGAGGAUGUGCUUUCAUGCACUUCUCGUGAUGUGCUCCUGAUUCCAAGUGUCCCGAAAAAAGUGCAGGUUUCAAAACCUGCACGUAGUGAACAAGAAAGGGCUGCAGAGCAUUCGUUGCUGCUAAAGAACGAGGAUGAGUUCCCUCCUCUGUCAUUGUGAAAGGGAAUUUUACAGUAAAAGCUAACAAAAACAGAUACGUUAGGCAGAUAUCAGACAUAAAACUUUUAGACAGUAAAUCAGAGAUUCGUGAAUCACACGGAGAAGUGCUUAUUCGGCUGCAACUGGAUUUGAAAGAGGAAUUGAUGGUGACUUUGAACUUGCUCUUUCGAUGACUCGUUAUAAUUGAGACGAGAUAGGAUGUUGAAGCACACACCCUUUAUCUUAUGUUAUUGGUAAGGAAUCAAGGGUGUAGGAGACCCGAUGCUUGAUCAAGAAUUGACGACUUACUCAUUCAGUGACUUUGGCAUUGGGACGUUGUCAAAAAUGGACUAUUGGGUAAAUUCAUAGAGAACUCAGAAUUUGAAGUUUUUUUUAAAAUAAAAUAAAAUAUUGAACUAAAAUAGUGUUGGUAAUAAAGCAGUUUGCGAUGAAAACAAUGUAAAAUACUAGCUCUACAAGAAAAUUGACCUCCCUUUCUUCUAUUGAAGAUAGAGUCUUGCAUAGAUAGAAUAUAUUAGACAGAGAUGGUAA